rnacentral:rRNA from 1 species
CCUACGGGAGGCAGCAGUGAGGAAUAUUGGUCAAUGGACGAGAGUCUGAACCAGCCAAGUAGCGUGAAGGAUGACUGCCCUAUGGGUUGUAAACUUCUUUUAUAUGGGAAUAACAUGUUCCACGUGUGGGAUUUUGUAUGUACCAUAUGAAUAAGGCUCGGCUAACUCCGUGCCAGCAGCCGCGGUAAUACGGAGGAUCCGAGCGUUAUCCGGAUUUAUUGGGUUUAAAGGGAGCGUAGGUGGAUUGUUAAGUCAGUUGUGAAAGUUUGCGGCUCAACCGUAAAAUUGCAGUUGAAACUGGCAGUCUUGAGUACAGUAGAGGUGGGCGGAAUUCGUGGUGUAGCGGUGAAAUGCUUAGAUAUCACGAAGAACUCCGAUUGCGAAGGCAGUUCACUGGACUGCAACUGACACUGAGGCUCGAAAGUGUGGGUAUCAAACAGGAUUAGAUACCCCAGUAGUC